rnacentral:rRNA from 1 species
AGCGUAGGUGGCUUGAUAAGUCAGAUGUGAAAUCCCCGGGCUUAACCUGGGAACUGCAUCUGAUACUGUUAAGCUAGAGUAGGUGAGAGGGAAGUAGAAUUCCAGGUGUAGCGGUGAAAUGCGUAGAGAUCUGGAGGAAUACCGAUGGCGAAGGCAGCUUCCUGGCAUCAUACUGACACUGAGGCUCGAAAGCGUGGGUAGCAAACA